rnacentral:lncRNA from 1 species
GGAUUCCAAUGGGGAGCUGCUCAUCCGAAAUGCCCAGCUGAAACAUGCCGGGAGGUACACAUGCACCGCUCAGACUAUUGUGGACAAUUCUUCUGCUUCAGCUGACCUUGUUGUGCGAGGUAAAAACAGAAAAGAUGGAGAGAAAAACAUGGUGGAUCCUUUUCUCCCCGUCUGUGCAAGUCUGCCUCCAACCUGGUGAUCGUUGACACUCACUAUUUGUGUGAAAGCCUUUUUUUUUUUUUUUUUAACAUGUUAUACUAGAUUUUACUAAUCUUGUAGCUUCCAAGUUCCCUACCUGCCUACCCCCAAAAUUUAGUUCUUAGAGGUUUUUUCACCUUUUGAAACAUCUAAAUAUACUUUGAGCAGAAAGAUACUUAAAAAUACGUAGCUUCUCUAAUAUCUGAAAAAUGCCUAGUGAACUAACCCAGUACCUCAUAAAAAGUAAAUUUUUGUGUUUUCAUGUCCUGUUUUUCUUCGAAAUUAUAUAUCUCUCAGAAAUUAGCUCAUUAUCUGAAAAAAAAAUGAAGAAUUGGUGAAUUAUAAUACAGGAAUAUUGCCACUGAAUGGACUGUUUGAUUUACCCAAGCAGGUAAUGAACAAUGUUGUUGUCAAAUUCACUAAUGAGUCAUCUUAAUUAGGAUGUAAGCUAAGGGGCAUUACCUCAGUGGCCUUUUGUAUCCUCAUGCCAUAUGUAUCCUUUGGCAAGAAAAGAUACAAAACAGCAAUAAACAAAUGAAGGCUCCCCAUGGCUCUGUAGGGUUUUUGGAACAAUUCCUGGGAUUGGGAAGUGAAAGUGGACAGCAUGUGGAGAAAAUCGUCAUCUCAGUAGCAAGAUUUAAGUGAAGAUGACUAAGCCACUAACAGCACGCAGGCAUGUUUAAUUUUGUUAGCUCCUAGCAUCAGCCUUCUUGGAUCUUUUGUUUUGAGAGGAAGGUCAAGAUUUUUGGAAGGACUUGGGCUGAAGUGAGAGAUUAAAAGUGAGUGGAACUGCUUAAUAUCAUUGUUUGAAUAUUUUCAUCCCCCCAGCACUUUGGUCAAAGAGACAUGCUUAAAGUUCUUUUUUCUUCACAGGAAAUAAUUUUGCUCUUCUCAAAACAGGUUUCGGUUGAGGUGUGAGAUAUUACAUUGACUUCUCAUUUAGUAACUUCAGCAUCCCCAUCUCCCCAUCUGUGUCUGGAAGAACUUUCAAGAAAAAUUUGAGAGAUACAUAUAUGACAUAUAUAUAUAUAUAAUAUAUUAGUCCUUUUAUUUAUUUAUUUAUUUAUUUAUUUGCUUUGGGGGCUGCAUGCACGGCAUAUGGAAGUUUCCAGGCUAGGGGUUGAAUCGGAGCUGCAGCUGCCAUCCUACACCACAGCCCAUAGCAAUAUGGGAUCCUUAACCCACUGAGUGAGGCUAGGGAUGAAACCUGCAUCCUCAUGGAUAUUAGUCGGGUUUGUUACCACAGAGGCACAAUGGGAACUCCAAUUAGUCAUUUUAAAGAAUACAUAUCUCUGGCUCAAAAUCUUACCUAUUUCCAUUGGUUUUCAUUUUUUCAUUUUUCAGUCUCAGUUAUUUUCGCAGAAGGAAGCAUCUUAGAAUUCAGACUGGAGAUCUAGGUCAAUUGUCAUUUUAAUAAGAUAUUUAAAAUUAAUUUGACAUCGCCAUGGAGAUGUGCAUGAAUCAGCUUUGUGAGCAUCUUCUUACAUAGUCCAUAAUUGAAAGUAUGCCACCAAGAUCAGAUAGGAAUAUAGUUUGGGAAAGAAAGAAUAAAAAUUAGAAAGGAAACCACAUGACAAGUAUGACAAGUGCUGAGAAAAAGAGAAUAUUCUGGUUUAGAUAAACUGCAUCAAUAUCAUCUAGAAUUAUAUAGAUUCAUUUGCCUCCCUUUAGUCUCUUUCUCAUUUCUAAUGGAGAUCUAAGUUUACUUUUAUCAAUGUAAGAGGUUAAAAUAUUAAUGUUAGAGGUUAAAAAAAAUCCAUACUGCCAUCCUAUAUAAUGGUAGAGAAGAAAUAUUUAAUAUUCAGCUUCAUCUUAGUACAGCUUUAUGUUUCAACAAGACCGCACACUGAUUCAUCUUUUAUUACUUUAUAAUAAAGCUGUUGUCUUAACUAAUUUUCAGAGCAAGAAUGGGCCUGUAGUAAUAAGGCAACUUUAAUUGGCAUUUUGGUAAAGAAGAAAUCACUUGCCUUAAUAUAACUGAUGUUCUGUCGGCAUUGUUGUUUCCAUGUUAUUUUAUUUUAAAAGGAAAGAUAAUUUGAUCUGAAAGUUUUUUGGUUUUCUUAACACUCAAACUUAUCCUUAAAAUUUGUUAUUUUAGUAAAUAUAAAUAAUGGAC